AGGACGAACGCUGGCGGCGUGCUUAAUACAUGCAAGUCGAGCGAGAAGCCACCGCUCCGUAAGGAGUGGUGGUGGAAAGCGGCGAACGGGUGAGUAACACGUGGGUAAUGUGCCUUGAACUCUGGGAUAACAGCCGGAAACGGCUGCUAAUACCGGAUAACCCUGCAGCGUCGCAUGACGCAGCAGGCAAAGCUCCGGCGGUUCUAGAUCAGCCCGCGGUGUAUCAGCUUGUUGGUGGGUAACGGCUACCAAGGCUUUGACGCAUAGCUGGCGUGAGAGCGCGACCAGCCACACUGGGACUGAGACACGGCCCAGACUUCUACGGAAGGCAGCAGUAGGGAAUCUUGCGCAAUGGGCGAAAGCCUGACGCAGCGACGCGCGUGAGGAUGACGGCCUUCGGUUGUAAACCUCUUUCAGUCAGGACGAAGCCUCACGGUGACGGUACCUGACAGAAGAAGCCCGCAACUACGUGCCAGCAGACCG
rnacentral:rRNA from 1 species